GACGAACGCUGGCGGCGUGCCUAAUACAUGCAACUAGAACGCACAGUUUAUACCGUAGCUUGCUACACCAUAGACUGUGAGUUGCGAACGGGUGAGUAACGCGUAGGUAACCUGCCUGGUAGCGGGGGAUAACUAUUGGAAACGAUAGCUAAUACCGCAUAAUAUUAAUUAUUGCAUGAUAAUUAAUUGAAAGGUGCAAUUGCACCACUACCAGAUGGACCUGCGUUGUAUUAGCUAGUAGGUGAGGUAACGGCUCACCUAGGCGACGAUAUAUAGCCGACCUGAGAGGGUGAUCGGCCACACUGGGACUGAGACACGGCCCAGACUCCUACGGGAGGCAGCAGUAGGGAAUCUUCGGCAAUGGACGAAAGUCUGACCGAGCAACGCCGCGUGAGUGAAGAAGGUUUUCGGAUCGUAAAGCGCUGUUGUAAGAGAAGAACGGGUGUGAGAGUGGAAAGUUCACACUGUGACGGUAUCUUACCAGAAAGGGACGGCUAACUACGUG
rnacentral:rRNA from 1 species